UCGCCGCCUGGAUCGGCCUUGAUGGCGCCGCCGGCAUCGGCGAAGGCUGCCCCAAGCACGACCACGCGCCGAAGUGCGAACCGCCGGCGGCUUG
rnacentral:tRNA from 2 species